AUUGAACGCUGGCGGCAGGCUUAACACAUGCAAGUCGAGCGAGCGGCGGACGGGUGAGUAAUGUCUGGGAAACUGCCUGAUGGAGGGGGAUAACUACUGGAAACGGUAGCUAAUACCGCAUACCAUCAGAUGUGCCCAGAUGGGAUUAGCUAGUAGGUGGGGUAAAGGCUCACCUAGGCGACGAUCUCUAGCUGGUCUGAGAGGAGGAUCAGCCAACCGGGGACUGAGACACGGCCCAGACUCUGACGGGAGGCAGCAGGGGGGAAUAUUGGACAAUGGGUGAAAGCGUGAUGAAGCCAUGCGGCGUGUAUGAAGAAGGCCUUAGGGUUGGAAAGUAUUGUCAGCGGGGAGGCGUUACCGGCAGAAGAAGCACCGGCUAACUCCGUGCCAGCAGCCGCGGGAAUAC
rnacentral:rRNA from 1 species